UACGUAGGUGGCAAGCGUUGUCCGGAUUUACUGGGCGUAAAGAGCGCGCAGGCGGUUGUUUUAGUCGAAUGUGAAAGCCCCCGGCUCAACUGGGGAGGGUCAUUCGAUACUGAUCGACUUGAAGGCAGGAGAGGGAAGUGGAAUUCCGGGUGUAGUGGUGAAAUGCGUAGAUAUCGGGAGGAACACCAGUGGCGAAGGCGGCUCUCUGGACCGGCACUGACGCUGAGACGCGAAAGCGUGGGUAGCAAACAGG
rnacentral:rRNA from 1 species